rnacentral:lncRNA from 1 species
AGUUCUUUGUGCAAGGCUAGACCAUAGAAAAGUUUAGGUCCUCUUCCCUUCCACAUGAAAGCAUCUUUUCUGUUUAACCCCCAAGUGAUGGGUGAAAUUACACUUGAGGGAGGUGAAUCUAAACGCCAAGUGAGGGGGUGAAUCCGGGAGCUACAUGCAAUGCUAUUGGAAAUCUCAUUUCACUGGCUGUUGAUAUCUGGGAACUGGUGUCAUAGUUAACAAAAUGGUUCCUUUCAACAGUGUAAUAGUUCUUUCUGUGUGCCAACCCUGUUCCAGAUGACGAUGGUGAUGAUGAUGAUGAUGAAGACGAUGAUGACGAUGAUGAUAAUGUGCAUGUUUGUUCUUUGUGCAUUCAAAUUUUAAGGGUUUUCAGAAUUUCAGUGUGAAGCUUUCAAAUAUCUGUAAACCAACAGCUUUCAGUAGAGAUGAAGUAGAAUUGUAUAAGCUUCUAUGAGAUUUUUUACUUAGCCAUUUAAGAGCUGUGCAAUAGUGACCCUAAGCUAGUUUAUUUUACUUAAUUCUUUGAUUAGCACAAUAAUUGCAUAUAUUGUAUAUAUAUAUAUAUAUAUAUAUAAUGCCAUAAUGUGAUGUUUUGAUUCCUGCAUGCACUGGGUGAUGAUCAAAUCACAGUAAUCAGCAUGUUUCUCACUUUCAGUUUCUAUCAUUUCUCUGAUAGGAGCAUUCAAACUCCUCCCCUGUAGCUCUGUAGAGCUACAUGCAGUACACCGCUGUUAACUGUAUUUUCCAUUAUGCCACCGAGCACUGCUGUCUCCUCCUCCCGUCCGACAUUGUGCUGUAACAUUGUGCUGAAGUUUGCAGAUUUAGCCUCUAGAUAGCCACAAAAAGUGUUUAUUUCUCUUAAAUUGCAAGUCAAGAAACUGGGAAAUGAAUUCACUCAGCCAGGGUCCAGUGAAUUUGAGCCCAGAGCCCUUAUAAUGAAUGCUUUCUACCUGUGAUGGUUAAUGUUGACUAGAUUUAGAAUUAUCUAGGAGGCAAGCCUGUGGGGGUGUCAGGGAGGGUAUUUGCAGAGAGGUUUAUCUGGGGAUGGACGGGCUACACCAAAUGUGGACAGAAUGAUUCCCCAAACUGGGGCCCUGCACUGAAUAAAAAGAGGAAAUCAGACUGAGUGCAGCCAUUCACUCUCUGCCUCCUGACUGUGGACAGACACAGUACAUUACGACCAGCUGCCUCUUGCUCCUUCUGGUCUACCUUUCUCUACCAUGAUGCACAGUGACCUCAAACUAAACCUUUGUCUUUAAGUUGCUUUCUGUCAUACAUUUUGUCAUAGCAGGGGGAAAUUAAUUAAUGUACUCAUUAGGUGACUGAUAAUUUAGAGAUUCCAGAGACAGCAGGGAGCUACGUUUCCUGCUUAGCAUUAUGUGCAUAUCAAGCCCACCUGUGAUUAGGAAUCACAGAGGUGCAGUGGAGGAUGGGUGGGCACCAAGCAUAAGUUAAGGUUCCUUGGGGACAGUAGGCUUCCUAAGCUUGGACUCUGAUGCUCCACCUUCUAGGCUCCCCUUAGCCUAUGGCCUUCUCUAUUCCUAGAAUCUGCCUUAGACACAGAGAAGAAGCCAUGGCUCUGCAGUGAGGCUCCACCUUCCAAUUAUAGGUGAGCCAAAAGG